rnacentral:rRNA from 1 species
UACGUAGGAUGCGAGCGUUAUCCGGAUUUACUGGGUGUGAAGGGUGAGUAGGCGGCAUGGUAAGCCAGAUGUGAAAGCCUUGGGCUUAACCCGAGGAUUGCAUUUGGAACUAUCAAGCUAGAGUACAGGAGAGGAAAGCGGAAUUCCUAGUGUAGCGGUGAAAUGCGUAGAUAUUAGGAAGAACACCAGUGGCGAAGGCGGCUUUCUGGACUGAAACUGACGCUGAGGCACGAAAGCGUGGGGAGCGAACAGG